UACGGGGGGGGGCAAGCGUUGUUCGGAAUUACUGGGCGUAAAGGGUGCGUAGGCGGUCCGCUAAGUUGGAUGUGAAAACUCUGGGCUUAACCCAGAGCCUGCAUUCAAAACUGACGGGCUAGAGUUCUGGAGGGGGUAGCGGAAUUCCUGGUGUAGCGGUGAAAUGCGUAGAUAUCAGGAGGAACACCGGUGGCGAAGGCGGCUACCUGGACAGAAACUGACGCUGAGGCACGAAAGCUAGGGGAGCAAACGGG
rnacentral:rRNA from 1 species